GCGUGGGGCCUCCAAAAAAGAAGAACAUGGAGCUGCUGGAGUGAGUCUAUAGGAAGGUCUCCAAGAGCAGCUAGCAGAAUACAAGACCCUCCAAGGACUGAAAUUCAGUAUGUUAUAAAGCCUGUGAGCCAAGACCACAUCCAUCACCAUGGAUGGUGGUGCAUUUUACUGUUAAGAAGUAAGAGAUCCCUGUUCUGACUUCUGUGGAGGGAAGGAUUCUGUCUCAUCCAUGUUUUACAGCACUUGCAUCUCGUUGGACACUGUCUUCAGUCUUCAGUUAGGAUGACUAAAUAGCAAAGUUUCUGGAAAUGAACCAACAGUUGGCCAUUGGAAGACUUUACUUACGGUCACGAAAC
ensembl:lncRNA